AGAGUUUGAUCCUGGCUCAGAUUGAACGCUGGCGGCAUGCCUUACACAUGCAAGUCGAACGGCAGCACGGGGGCAACCCUGGUGGCGAGUGGCGAACGGGUGAGUAAUACAUCGGAACGUGUCCUGUAGUGGGGGAUAGCCCGGCGAAAGCCGGAUUAAUACCGCAUACGAUCUACCGGAAGAAAGCGGGGGAUCGCAAGACCUCGCGCUAUAGGGGCGGCCGAUGGCAGAUUAGCUAGUUGGUGGGGUAAAGGCCUACCAAGGCGACGAUCUGUAGCUGGUCUGAGAGGACGACCAGCCACACUGGGACUGAGACACGGCCCAGACUCCUACGGGAGGCAGCAGUGGGGAAUUUUGGACAAUGGGGGAAACCCUGAUCCAGCAAUGCCGCGUGUGUGAAGAAGGCCUUCGGGUAGUAAAGCACUUUUGUCCGGAAA
rnacentral:rRNA from 1 species